GCGGUAGGAAGGUGGACGGGCGAGGAGAAAGUGAAGGAGAGGGGGAGGUGCAGAGAGGGAGGGGUCUGGUGGGGAGAAGUGAAUGACUAAAGGGGGACAGGUGUAGGCUGGACUAGGACUAAACUGCCACGGGGAGGCUUGGCCGUUCGGUAGACGGUAGGUCUCAGAAAAGCACCGCUGGGUUUUGCUCUGUUCUACAGAGGGAGGUGUGUUGUUGACUAGAUGGGUGUCCCCAUAGAAAUAUAAUUACUAUAUAUUGUUACAAUUUGACUAACUUUAUUUCUAUGGGCGGCCAUUUGACUGAGAUAGUUAUUACGGUUGUACAACCUGGCUCUGUCUGUCUAGUUUUAGCACAAGGUGAAUAGAAUAGACAGUAUACUACUCUAACUCACCCGAGCUGGACACAUGUCAAACACCCCAGGAAGACAUAGAGAUACAUGGAAAUGUGUCAAGAUGUACACUUUCUCUAUGGACAGUCCCACUAGGUCCCUGUCCCCACUUCUCACAGUAGGAGAUCUGGGGCCCACUGUUGGAGGGAUACGGAUUGGGGUCAAAGGAAAGAUACAGAGACAGGGUUGGGUUAAGGAGAGGGACAUAGAGACAGGGAUGGGUUAAGGAGAGGGACAUAGAGACAGGGUUGGGUUAAGGAGAGGGACAUAGAGACAGGGAUGGGUUAAGGAGAGGGACAUAGAGACAGGGUUGGGUUAAGGAAAGGGACAUAGAGACAGGGUUGGGUUAAGGAGAGGGACAUAGAGACAGGGUUGGGUUAAGGAGAGGGACAUAGAGACAGGGUUGGGUUAAGGAGAGGGACAUAGAGACAGGGUUGGGUUAAGGAGAGGGACAUAGAGACAGGGUUGGGUUAAGGAGGGACAUAGAGACAGGGAUGGGUUAAGGAGAGGGACAUAGAGACAGGGUUGGGUUAAGGAGAGGGACAUAGAGACAGAGUUGGGUUUAUGCGGAGGGAUACAGACAGACAGGGCUGGGUUGAGGCGGAGGGAUACAGACAGACAGGGCUGGGUUGAGGCAGAGGGAUACAGACAGACAGGGUUGGGUUGAGGCAGAGGGAUACAGAUGGAGACAGGGGUUACAGAUUAACCCUUAUACAAUGACACAUCACAUAUGGACAAAGCACAGCAGAUAUAGACAGUCUUCCUGACGCUUAUACACCACCAGAACCAUUACUUUCAUUAUCCCUAACAGAACCAAACCUGUUACAAGAAUGUUUUAUCCCCCCAAGUAGUAUACAGUGAUGAACAAAAGAACCUGUUAUCCCACUGUACCCAAUGGCUAUUGCUGUCUCAUGACAGCAGGGGUCUGUGACAUGCUGAUAACCUAUCAGUUUGAUUGGCUGAACUAAAUGGGAACUCCCUAAUUGGUUAUUGUGGUUAAGUGCAUCAGGAAGUGUCACAACAUGCUAUGUGGAUAUUUGUCAUUUGAGUGCAGGACUAUGGUAGCGGUAUGUAAGUAGUUACACUAUGGAGUGUGUGCAGUAAGUUCAUUUGGUGAAAUGGUAUGAUUACGAAGCUAGAAGAACAGGAACAUUAUAAGUGUGCGAGAUGUAUGAGCCAAAACGAUGAAGCACUGUUGCCUAGUAGUGCAGAAUACCUCCCUUAAGUUCCACCAAGAGCAGGGGUGUCAAACAUAGCCAAGCCCACACGAUGGAUCUGGCCUGCCGGGGGGGCCAAUCUGGCCUAGAGGGGAUUUCAGUAAAAUAAUGAAAUCAACUCAAUAUACUUCGAAACCGUGCAGAAAUGAUAAUGGACCUAUAUUCAUAAUGUUUUAUUGAACUUUUUACUGUGUCCAGUUUGGUAAAUAUCAUUGAAGUGACCAAAAUAAAAUCCAGUCAGAGGUCAUAAAAAAUUCCAAACACUACGGUCAGAGAAACAUUUUAGAAAAUGUUGACGGCAAGACAUUUGAGUGCAUCCCUCUGGAACAUGUUGAAGGUCGAAUGCCCACCCCUCCCCUCCCCGGCCCGGGGGCAAAACCAGUUUGACAUACCUGCCUUAAGAGUGCUUUUGAACAGGGUUUACCAUAGGUCUAACAACUGUAUGGACCUCCUAGUGGUCUAUAGGAUCAUGGUCAGACCUAAUGUAAACAAGUCAUCACCCAUACCAGGUCACAGAUUCUGAGAAGUACUAUUUUAAUCAUCUAGAAAGCUGCCAAGGUUGGGGAAUGCUUAAGGUGUGUGAUGUAAAAAAAAAAAGAAUCUGAGCAUUUGUUUGUAACCGGCAACAGUUAACCUCACAGACUCGAUCUCAGUCCACCUCAGAUGUAACAGUUUGAAAUAUUAGACUUCACUGUACUACAAAACUAGUGGAACUAAGUCUACAUUAGAACUGGUAGGCUGCUAGUUAAGUCGCCCUCAAACUGGGCAUCCUAUAGAGACCGUACGACCAUAUUUUACAACCAUGAACGGACCAUGAGUUGGGCCACAGUGAACGUCAGACAGAGAUUGUGAUGCUUGAAGACGUUGGGUGAGGGUCAAGGAGGGGGACCAUAAUGACGCAAUAGUAGCGGGCAGUAAAACAAUGGCAUUAUUUCUCUGCUCUCUCUUGGUUCUCGUUCACAGCAGUUCACUUUGCAAACCUGCAAAUCUUUGGGCAAGAGUGUGUAAGUGUGCAUUUCGGCAUUCCUGCAGUUUACUGCGCAAGGAUCACUGCUAUGGUGUCGUUGAGAGAGAAACGGACAGAUGGAAAACGGGAUAGAGGGCUAUUAUAAUGGCACUUGUAGAGUGCAGGGUGGGGGAGGGGGGGAUCUGUGUAGUAAAUAGCUAAAAUGGCCCGUAAGGAUUCAUCAUAAUCUCAUUUCAAUCGCAAGUCCAUGAGACGAAAAGUAGGGCUAAUAUCAUCCUCAUUUGGUUAAUCCCUGGGGUAAACAAUUUUUUUUCUAGUCAAAAAUAUCUCUUCAAUUUCAUUCACUUUCUCAAAUAAAUAUAUAUAUCUCUGGCUUUACGAUAAGAUGCUGCUAAUGUAAUGUUUGUUCUGUGGCUGACUGCCUGCUGGGAUUGUAACAGUACUGUGGACCAUUAAAAUGAAACCAUUUUGGCUCCUCUUAUCCCUGCUGCUUUUUCCCUCAGACCUCUCAGUUUGCCUGUGACCAAAAGCCUUUCUCAUUAGUUGAGUAUGACCGUAAAGAAUAGAGGAGCCUCCACAGAGCAGCCUGCAGCUCCAGUGCUAAUCAGAGCUGUGGGACACUAGCCCCCGGGAAGCGACAGAGCAUCUCCAUAACAGCAGACAGUGUUUUAACAGGCUGGGACAGGGAAAUGGGCCAAGCUAGUUACUUAGGGGGACUGCCACAGCACCGAAAUAGGACAUCUCAUUUGAGGUGGGGUUUGCAAUCGGUAAAUGUGUACACUAGUGGACUUCAGUUGGACUAAUUUGGAUUUAUUGAAACCGUGCGCUGCUAGGUCCGUUUGGGCUUCAUCCAUUUCCUGUAACCACGAAAGGGUUUGAACGUAUUCAUUUGCCUGCGAGCAGCAUGGGUGGGUGGGGGCGUUUUGGGGAUGGGUUUUGUUGAGUUUGCAUGUUCUUUUUCUCCACACCAUCCAGACCUGUGAUCACAAACUAAUUGGAUUCGGGUGGGAGGAAAAUAAUGUAAAAUGUCAGAUAACCAAACGAAAAAGUGUUCUUUUCAGCCUUUGUUAACUCUCCUUAAGUGAAUGGGUCAACCAACAUACAGUACAAUCCCAGUCUCCCUGUUGGUUUCACCCCAAGACACUACUAGUAGUGCUAUUGUUUCUCGCACUGCAGAUUAGAUUUGCGAUGUUCCUGUUGGAUUCCAUUUAAAAAGCUUGCAUGGGACACACAGACAAAUACAGCAAAAAAAGCCCCCCACAAAAAACAACGACCGCAUGAUUGUAUGCAGGGGGGUUUGUUCACCCCCCCCCCCGCCCCAUUUCUCACAUUUUUGCAUGACCUUGUGUCAUCCACCAUGGCAACAGAAAUAGUAAUUGUAGUGCUUAUAAACCAAAACCGAAACUACAAGAAAGAAGUUCCAACUAAAAAGUGUUAGCGAAACAGCAAAUCGUGUUAAUCUAUUGUUUUACGUUGUCUUUUUGUUGUCAGGAGACCGUUUUGUGUUUUGUAGAGAAAGAGCUGGCUCAGCAGUGGUGCCAUAGGCCUGGUAUGGAGGCGCUCGGCUUCCCGGAUGCCAGUGUGUUCUGUGCCAGACCCUGCCCGUGGCUCAAGGGCAGUUCCGCGCUGGAGGUUUUUGGUAUCGAUUGUUCUGAGCUCCACUGGCCCUCCUGAGGGCAGCUCUGGGAUCGUCUAGUAGAGUCCGGCAUGGCUGUUACACGUACUAAAGAGACUGUAUUGGCAUCAGCCGUUAUGACUGGUGCGAGGAGGCCAGGGUGAUGGAAGAGGUACAGUAUUACUUCUAGUGGAAUUGGGAUUAAUGCCCUGAUUGCAAGGCUUUGUAGGACUUCAUAGACUUGGGGCAGACUGCAGAAUAAUCUGGUCCCAUGCUUUAGAAGCUGAUUGUUAACAUACACAGACCCGAGAGGCCCUAAGCCUGAUUCAUGGUGAUUGUUUGAACAUAAGAACGAGCUCGUUUUCUCACUUCAAAGCCACAAAAUAAAAAGAAAGGAAAAAAAAAAGCUAUUAC
ensembl:lncRNA